GAGAGGUGGCAGAGUGGUCGAAUGCGGCGGUCUUGAAAACCGUUGUACCGCAAGGUACCGGGGGUUCGAAUCCCUCCCUCUCC
rnacentral:tRNA from 1 species